rnacentral:rRNA from 1 species
GACGAACGCUGGCGGCGUGCUUAACACAUGCAAGUCGAACGGAAAGGCCCUGCUUUUGUGGUGUGCUCGAGUGGCAAACGGGUGAGUAACACGUGAGUAACCUGCCCUUGACUUUGGUAUAACUUCAGGAAACUGGGGAUAAUACCGUAGAGGAGCUCCGGCUGCAUGGUGGGGGUUGGAAAGUUUCGGCGGUUGGGGAUGGGCUCGCGGCUUAUCAGCUUGUUGGUGGGGUAGUGGCUGACCAAGGCGUUGACGGGUAGCCGGCCUGAGUGGGGGAACGGCCACAGUGGGACUGAGGUACGGCGCCGACUACUACGGGAGGGAGCAGUGGGGGAUGGUGAACCAUGGGCGCAGGACGGUGGCUGCGGCGCCGCGUGGUGGGGGACGGCGUUCUGGUUGUAAUCUCCUUACAGCCAUGGCGAAGCCCUUGUGGUGACGGUAGUGGUAGAAGAAGCACCGGCUAACUACGUG